rnacentral:rRNA from 1 species
UACGUAGGGUGCGAGCGUUAAUCGGAAUUACUGGGCGUAAAGCGUGCGCAGGCGGCGCGUUAAGACAGGUGUGAAAGCCCCGAGCUUAACUUGGGAAUUGCGCUUGUGACUGGCGUGCUGGAGUGUGGCAGAGGGGGGGUGGAAUUCCACGUGUAGCAGUGAAAUGCGUAGAGAUGUGGAGGAACACCGAUGGCGAAGGCAGCCCCCCUGGGUUAACACUGACGCUCAGGCACGAAAGCGUGGGGAGCAAACAGG